GGGGGCGGGCGAGAGGCGCGGACGCCUGGNUCCGAGUUGUUGCAGAAACUCAGAAAUNCCCUUAAGUUGACCUGGCUCACGAUAAACGCUAGCGGCGUGCCUAACACAUGCAAGUCGAACGCGGUUUGGGGGGCGACUCCUAGACCGAGUGGCGGACGGGUGAGUAACACGUGGGUUAUCUACCUUGAGGUGAGGAAUACCGGCGAGAAAUCGCUGACAAGACCGCAUAGGUUUGGCAAACCAAACAAAGCCGAGCAAUCGGCGCCACAAGAUGAGCCUGCGGCCGAUUAGUUUGGUUGGUGGGGUAACGGCCUACCAAGACGACGAUCGGUAGCUGGUCUGAGAGGACGAUCAGCCACACUGGGAUUGAGAACGGCCCAGACUCCUACGGGGGGCAGCAGUGAGGAAUUUUCGUCAAUGGGGGCAACCCUGAACGAGCAACGCCGCGUGCAGGAAGAAGGUUUUCGGAUCGUAAACUGCUUUUCCCAGGGAAGAGAGAGGACGGUACCUGGGGAAGAAGCCCCGGCUAACUACGUGCCAGCAGCCGCGGUAAUACGUAGGGGGCAAGCGUUGUCCGGAUUUAUUGGGCGUAAAGCGCACGCAGGCGGUCUUGUCAGUUUCCAGUGACAGGUGGUGGCUUAACUGCCACAGGCCUGGAAAGACGGCAAGACUUGAGGGCAAGAGAGGGACGCGGAAUUCCAGGUGGAGCGGUGAAAUGCGUAGAGAUCUGGAAGAACACCGAAGGCGAAGGCAGCGUCCUGGUUUGUAUCUGACGCUCAAGUGCGAAAGCUAGGGGAGCGAACGGGAUUAGAUACCCCGGUAGUCCUAGCCGUAAACGAUGACCACUAGACGUGGGAGGUAUCGACCCCUUCCGUGUCGCAGCUUACGCAAGAAGUGGUCCGCCUGGGGAGUACGGUCGCAAGAUUAAAACUCAAAGGAAUUGACGGGGACCCGCACAAGCAGCGGAGCGUGUGGUUUAAUUCGAUGCAACGCGAAGAACCUUACCAAGGCUUGACAUAACCGAGAACGCCGCAGAAAUGUGGAACUCUUUGGACACUCGGUUACAGGUGGUGCAUGGUUGUCGUCAGCUCGUGUCGUGAGAUGUUGGGUUAAGUCCCGCAACGAGCGCAACCCUCGUCGCAUGUUGCCAGCACGUUAUGGUGGGAACUCAUGUGAGACUGCCGGGGUCAACUCGGAGGAAGGUGGGGAUGACGUCAAAUCAUCAUGCCCCUUAUGUCUUGGGCUUCACGCAUGCUACAAUGGCCGGUACAAAGGGCUGCGAUGUCGUAAGGCGGAGCGAAUCCCAAAAAGCCGGUCUCAGUUCGGAUUGAGGUCUGCAACUCGACCUCAUGAAGUCGGAGUCGCUAGUAAUCGCAGAUCAGCAACGCUGCGGUGAUACGUUCCCGGGCAUUGCACACACC
rnacentral:rRNA from 1 species